rnacentral:lncRNA from 12 species
AAAAAUACUUUUUUUUUUUUACAAUGAUCAUGCUUUACUUUUCUUAUUCAAAUCUUUGACUCCUUUCUAAAGAUAAAGUCCUAGAAGUAGAAGAGCUGGGUCAAUGGAUACAUCCUUUUAAUGACACUGAAUACAUAUUGCCAAAUUGCCCUUAAGAAGAUCUCACUAUCAAAACAUUGAAGAGAAACCACUGCUCAUCUGCCAGCCUCACAGCCAGAGCCACUUCAGCUACCAUCCCAGAAAAGUCCACCUAUCAGGAUUCUGGGCAUUUUCCUCAGAGACCCCUGGGCUUCCUUUCUAAAUAAAUGGUUCAUUCACCACAAAGAAAAAUCACAAGGAUGUGCAUGCUUGCUACAGAGGGUCCCUCUCCUGGAAUCAACAGCCCCAGCCACAUGUUCAUUGGUGCGACUACACUCGGCCACCUGUGAACACUGUUUCCAGGCCCCCAGGUUGAACACCCUCCCUGCUUGCCUCCUCACUGAUAUACUUUGAGAUUCUAGUGACAGGCCUCUGACAAAAGACAGGAGGCAGCUUGAGGACUAGAAGCAGGGUUUGGAGAGAUUGACCCCGACUUGGCUUUGG